AGAGUUUGAUCAUGGCUCAGAAUCAACGCUGGCGGCGCGCCUAACACAUGCAAGUCGUACGAGAAAGUGGAGCAAUCCAUGAGUACAGUGGCGUACGGGUGAGUAACACGUGAGUGAUCUACCUUUUAGUGAGGAAUAACCGAGGGAAACUUUGGCUAAUACCGCAUAAGCCCGAGAGGGGAAAGCAGAAAUGCGCUGAAAGAGGAGCCCGCGGCCGAUUAGCUAGUUGGUAGGGUAAGAGCCUACCAAGGCAGAGAUCGGUAGCCGGCCUGAGAGGGCACACGGCCACACUGGCACUGAAACACGGGCCAGACUCCUACGGGAGGCAGCAGUGGGGAAUCUUGCACAAUGGGGGAAACCCUGAUGCAGCGACGCCGCGUGAGCGAUGAAGCCCUUUGGGGUGUAAAGCUCUUUCGUCAGGGAAGAUAGUGACGGUACCUGGAGAAGCAGCUGCGGCUAACUACGUGCCAGCAGCCGCGGUAAUACGUAGGCAGCAAGCGUUGUUCGGAGUUACUGGGCGUAAAGGGUGUGUAGGCGGUUCCUCAAGUUUGCUGUGAAAUCUCCCGGCUUAACCGGGAGGGUGCGGUGAAUACUGAGGGACUAGAGUACGGGAGAGGAAAGUGGAAUUCCUGGUGUAGCGGUGAAAUGCGUAGAUAUCAGGAGGAACACCGGUGGUGUAGACGGCUUUCUGGACCGUAACUGACGCUGAGACACGAAAGCGUGGGUAGCAAACAGGAUUAGAUACCCUAGUAGUCC
rnacentral:rRNA from 1 species